UACGUAGGUGGCAAGCGUUGUCCGGAUUUACUGGGCGUAAAGAGCGCGUAGGCGGUCGGUCAAGUCGCGUGUGAAAGCCCCCGGCUCAACUGGGGAGGGUCACGCGAUACUGAUCGACUCGAAGGCAGGAGAGGGAAGUGGAAUUCCCGGUGUAGUGGUGAAAUGCGUAGAUAUCGGGAGGAACACCAGUGGCGAAGGCGACUUCCUGGCCUGUUCUUGACGCUGAGGCGCGAAAGCUAGGGUAGCAAACGGG
rnacentral:rRNA from 1 species